AUUGAACGCUGGCGGCAGGCCUAACACAUUCAAGUCGAGCGAGCGGCGGACGGGUGAGUAAUGUCUGGGAAACUGCCUGAUUGAGGGGGAUAACUACUGGAAACGGUAGCUAAUACCGCAUACCACACAAUGUGCCCAUAUGGGAGUAGCUAGUGGGUGGGGUAACGGCUCACCUAGGCGACGAUCCCUAGCUGGUCUUAGAGGAUGACCAGCCACACUGGAAAUGAGACACGGGCCAGACUCCUACGGGAGGCAGCAGUGGGGAAUAUUGCACAAUGGGCGCAAGCCUGAUGCAGCCAUGCCGCGUGUGUGAAGAAGGCCUUCGGGUUGUAAAGCACUUUCAGCGGGGAGGCGUUACCCGCAGAAGAAGCACCGGCUAACUCCGUGCCAGCCGCCGCGGUAAUAC
rnacentral:rRNA from 1 species